rnacentral:sRNA from 1 species
GCUGGGUGUGGUGGCUUACAUCUGUAAUCCCAGAAUUCUGGGAGGCUGAGGUGGGAAGAUUACUUGAGCCCAGGGAGUCUGGGCUGUCGUGAGCUAUGCUUGUACCUAUGAAUUGCCACUGCACUACAGCCUGGGCAACGCAGCAAGACCUUGCCUAUU